UACGUAGGGGGCAAGCGUUGUCCGGAUUUAUUGGGCGUAAAGAGCGUGUAGGCGGCUUUACAGGUCCGUUGUGAAAACUCGAGGCUCAACCUCGAGACGCCGGUGGAAACCGUUUGGCUAGAGUCCGGAAGAGGAGAGUGGAAUUCCUGGUGUAGCGGUGAAAUGCGCAGAUAUCAGGAAGAACACCCGUGGCUAAGGCGGCUCUCUAGUACGGUACUGACGCUGAGACGCGAAAGCGUGGGGAGCGAACAGG
rnacentral:rRNA from 1 species